rfam:Hordeum vulgare subsp. vulgare, WGS project CAJW01000000 data, contig: morex_contig_2594124
CUUAUACUUCCUCCGUCCGAAAUUACUUGUCACAAAAAUGGAUACAAAUGGAUGUAUCUAGAACUAAAAUACAUCUAAAUACAUCCAUUCCUACAACAAGUAUUUCCGGAUGGAGGGAGUAUUAG